GUAAUUUUCAUUUUCAUCAUUUUCUUUACGAAUGUAGUUAAGUAAUAGUAUUUCUUUUUUUAUAUUUUAUUUCACCUUUAUUUAACCAUGUAGGCUAGUUGAGAACACGUUCUCAUUUACACCUGCAACCUGGCCAAUAUAAAGCAAAGCAGUUCGACACAAACAACAACACAGAGAUACACAUGGAAUAAACGGCUGCACAGUAAUGUCUCUUAUCGAUGGCGGUUAUGAUGAUAUCGUUUAGGACCUUGAGCGUGGCCAUGACCAGAUCUGAAACCAGAUUGCAUAGCGGAGAAGGUACGGUGGGUUUCGAAAUGGUCGGUAAUCUGUUUGUUAACUUGACUUUCGAAGACCUUAGAAAGGCAGCGUAUGAUAGAUAUAGGUCUGUAGCAGUUUGGGUCUAGAGUGUCAAAAAUAUAAAUAGUAAAGUAAAGUACAGAUAUCCCCGAAAACGACUUAAGUAGUACUUUCAAGUAUUUUUACUUAAGGACACGUCACUGGACACAUCAACAAACAAUCCUUCAGUCACUGUCCAAUCCAAAACAGGAGCCUGUGAAGGAAGAACAGUCAUCGACACGAUUCCUUGCAAGACCUCGGCUGGCCCACUACUGCAUCACUGUCACGGCAGGUAGCCUGGCUUUGUCACGACCGUCAUGGGAAGAAGUGGACCAAAGUGCAGCGUGGACCAAGACGGGACUGGAGCGCAGUAGUCCACACUGACUAAACACCUCCCUCUGCAACUGGAUCCUGGACUUCCUGACGGGCCACCCCCAGGUGGUGAGGGUAGGUAGCAACACAUCUGCCACACUGAUCCUCAACACUGGAGCCCCCCAGGGGUACGUGCUCAGUCCCUUCCUGUACUCCCUGUUCAUCCUCGACUGCAUGGCCAGGCACGAUUCCAACACCAUCAUUAAGUUUGCAGAUGACACAACAGUGGUAGGCCAGAUCACUGAUAAUGACGAGACAGCUUGUAGGGAGGAGGUCAGAGACCUGGCCGUGUGGUGCCAGAAUAACAACCUAUCCCUCAACGUAACCAAGACUAAGGAGAUGAUUGUGGACUACAGGAAAAGGAGGACCGAGCACGCCCCAUUCUCAUCGAUGGGGCUGUAGUGGAGCAGGUGGAGAGCUUCAAGUUCCUUGGUAUCCACAUCACCAACAAACUAUAAUCGUCCAAACACACCAAGACAGUCGUGAAGAGGGCACGACAAAGUCUAUUUGGCAGGGUAGCCUAGUGGUUAGAGCGUUGGACUAGUAACCGAAAGGUUGCAAGUUCGAAUCCCCGAGCUGACAAGGUACAAAUCUGUCGUUCUGCCCCCGAACAGGCAGUUAACCCACUGUUCCUAGGCUGUCAUUGAAAAUAAGAAUUUGUUCUUAACUGACUUGCCUAGUAAAAUAAAGGUAAAAUAAAAAAAAUAUUCCCCCUCAGGAAACUAAAAAGAUUUGGCAUUGGUCCUCAGAUCCUCAAAAGGUUCUACAGCUGCAACAUCGAGAGCAUCCUGACUGGUUCCAUCAAUGUGUCAUGACGUUGGCCUGGGGGAUAGAUUUAUGACAGUCAUAAAUACCUCUUCCCCCCUUUAUCCUCUCUCUACCCUACUGAGGUUACAUUUAAAAAACCUUUGGUUAACAGAGAUUCUGGGAACAUCAGAAUGUGGGGGGAAAUGAACUAUAUUCUGGUAUUCCGAACAAUUGAACAUAUGCGGUGGUACUUAAUGAAUAUGAUGUGGAACUCUACAGUGGAAAGUCUACACAUCAGAGUUAUCAGAUUCACAUGGAAUUGUUGUUCAGUUUAAAUGUUUGAAUAUGAAAUGAUUUGUGAUGGGAUGAAAUGUGAUUUUAGUUUCUAAAAUGUGAGAUGUGGGUUUUCAUAAGAUAUUGCCGCUCACUCAGUGUCCCGCCCACGUGAAGAGACAUAGGUUGUAAACUAUGAAACACACCCCAUUUCUCCCUUCCUAUAUAAAGCCUUGACAACAACAUAACUUCCUGUUCCGAGGACGUGAGGACGACGGUCCUAUGUCAGAAUGGUUCAGAUAAUAACUACAGAAUGAAGCCAACAUAAGCGUGAGCUUUGGUUGCGAAUGGUAUGAACUUUGAACUCUUAUUCACUACAGAAGUGAUUUCUCCUAGCCGUUGAGUUAGUAACCGCAGCUGCAAACUCAGGUUAGGAAGGAACAGACAGAGUAUCCCGUCUACCACACAACAACGUUACUACAACAUAUCCAAUUGACCACCAGAGACAUUCUUCAAAGGACUCGGUUUGGAACACGGCCUUCCAUCUACCACCAACCUACUGAAGCGCAGCUCAGAGUAAAUAUUUAUUGCAUUUUCCUUUUCCAAAUGGGCGGUAAUUUAGAAUGCAUAAGACACUGUAUUUAUGAUAGCACAGCUUUUUCCCUUUGUUCCUCAGUCUCCCGUUCUUUCACUCAACCCAGCCCCUUUUCCUUUGUGUAACAAGCUGUCAUAUCUGUUCCGCCCGCUAGGGACGUUUUCCUUUAUGACGUAAUUUGUAAUCAAGUUAUGAUUAAUUGUGUGUAUGUGUAAUUAGUUAGGUAUUUAGUAAAUAAAUAAUUAAACCCAA